rnacentral:rRNA from 1 species
GUCAGAGCCAUAUCUCCCUGCAGUUCUUGCCUGGUGCCCCACUGAAGAAAAGCAGGGUUGAGCCUGGUCAGUACCUGGAUGGGAGACUAAGGUUUCCUGGGGCAAACUAAGGUUGCUGCUGGAA